UACGAAGGGGGCUAGCGUUGUUCGGAAUUACUGGGCGUAAAGAGCUCGUAGGCGGCCUGUUGCGUCCGCUGUGAAAUCCCGGGGCUCAACCCCGGGCGUGCAGUGGAUACGGGCUGGCUGGAGGCAGGCAGGGGGAGAACGGAAUUCCUGGUGUAGCGGUGAAAUGCGCAGAUAUCAGGAGGAACACCGGUGGCGAAGGCAAUCCCCUGGGCCUGCACUGACGCUCAUGCACGAAAGCGUGGGGAGCAAACAGG
rnacentral:rRNA from 1 species